rnacentral:lncRNA from 1 species
GGGUGGGACUUUCAUUUUCCAAACAGUGUCCCACUCUCAUCUAAAACCUCCUCCACAUCCUUGACGUAUUACAGGUUUUCCCUCAGCUAGUGCAUAGGCACUAGAUUCAUCCCGUUCUUCUUCUCCAUUAUUGAGUGGUCCUUGGAUAAGGCGUCUAGUUGCAUCUUCCCCAGGAUUUGAUCAACUCACCGUUUCUAACCACCCAUCUCUGCCCUUGUUUUAAUAGCCCAGAGCCUAUCGCUUUCUUUUUAUAUUGUGCCACCCUAAUUUCACCCUGAAAGCAGUAUGUUUAGACUUAGAGUCUUUGAUCCCCAAGUCUACCACCGUGCUUUUCUGUUUUGGCCGUCUUCCAAUUAACGAGGUGUAGUUUCGAGUUAUACGCCUUGUAUUGUAGGCGAAAGCAAGUUAGCUUUCUAACCACUAAGUUCAGUUCUCACUUUUGUCCACAAUCAAACUGUAGUUUGGCUUUGUUACCCUCUUUGUGUCAAUGGGAAACUAAACCCUCAAACUCUCAAUGCAAAGGGCGUUGCAAAUAGUAUAAUAAUACAUCACAAUGUUUGCUUUUCUUUGGGAUUAAGACAAAGGCAUAUAUGUUUGGUUUCAUGAAGGUGAAUUUUAUGUUUGUUCUUUUGUUAGCUAUGAAUUGCCUAGUGCAUUAGUUUUAAUUCAUCAAAGAACUGAACUCAUCAUAAAUAUGUUUCUCCAUUUGAUCUUGCAUGUAGUCUAGUCCCCAACUCCUGAGGAUGUAUUUUGUUAUAUUUGAGGAAGGUUUCCCAAUACUGAUUCAGCAUUUCUGAUCUGGCACGGGGAAUUGUGGAUUUGAACAGAGGUGGCAUGUCUAGCUGUUUAUGCUGGGACAUAUAUUAGAAUCAUUGCUUCAUUCCCAUUCGAGUUUGGUUCUUGGGACAUAUUUGGAGUUUAAAAAGUUGCAUAAAUUCACAAGAAAUGCGUGGAAUAGUGGCUUCAUAUAGAGGUAAGAAAGGAUGAUAGAGAUUGUCUAAUUAGCCGUAACUAUUUAAGAUUUCCAUAGGAUUCGUUAUUUUUGUUCACCCUCAAAUACCCUCUACAGUGUAACAGGCUGCUGACCAAGACCAAUAGUGCGGCUUUUUUUAAUAAAUAAUUCAAAAAUUAAAAAUUAAAAACUGAAAUGACAUGCCCAUUAGAUUAUUUAUCAAAAUAUUAUUAUUUUUCUGGUGCUACCUGUCAAAUUGGCGGCACCAGACUAAAAUAUAAUAAUUUAAAGUAUUUAGGGACCUGAUAUGAAAUUUAUCAUUUUGAGUGACUAUGAAGAAAAAGUGAAAGGGUGUCGCUGUGUGGUGGCACCAAACUUUAAUAUUUACUUUGGGUAAAAUAUGUUUACUUUAAUAUUAAAAUAAAGGGUUUUUAUGAAUAAAAAUCAUAGGUUAAUAGCUUAUUUAACUACAAAAAUAGGUUGAGGGCUUAUUUAAAUACAAUGUAGUGAGUUGAAAGGGAAUAAAAAGAAAAUAAUAAAUAAGGAGGGUUUAAAAGGCAAUUAGUCACAUUUAAAGUUUGGUGCCGCCGCAUUUUUUCACUUUUCUUUUCAGCAGCCACUCAAAAGGGUAAAUUUUCAUAUCAAGUCCCUGAAUACUUUAGAUCAUUGCAUUUCAGUCCAGUGACACCAAUUUGACCGGUGGUACCAAAAAAAAAAACUAUACCAUUUUGGUAAAUAAUCUUAUGGGCAUAUCUUAUUAAUUUUAUUUUUAUAUUAUUUAGGUGAAAAAGCCCCAAUAGUGCUUAACUACAGCUUUUUUUUCAGCUUUGGUUAUUUAUUCAUCUUUGUUUAGACACAAGUACAUUUAUGUUUGUAGAACAACUUUAGUUGUCUAUUUUGCUCUGCAAGUGGUCCCAAAGUGGUGUGCUAGUUUCUCCAAUUUCACAUGCCGAAGGCUGGUUCUGUUUUCUAAUGAAUUGGUUUUUGUGCAAAAGAGUUUUUCAAUGCCUUUGAAUGCUAGCACUGCCGAUGGGAUUUCUUUUUUAUUUUUUGGCCUCAUGCGGAGCAGAUGUAGCUGCCCCAAAUAAAUUGAUAUCUACAGUGGGCAUAUACUCUUUGUUCAACAUGUAAAACAAUGGUACACAAUGGGUGCCCCACUUGUAGUAGACAGGAGCUUGGUGAUAUUUAGAAGUGUUCAAAUGGUUAGUUUGGUUAAUAUUCCAACCAAAUUACCCAAAAUAUUAAAAUCUUUAACUAUUAACUGAAUCAAUUUUUUUCAAAUACAUUAACCGUAUCGAAAUAUUUCGAUUAAUUCGGUCAAUUUUGCAGUUAUAUAGCCUAGAAGUUAGGGGGGAAUGACAAGAAACUCAUUUGGGAAGGCACCCCGAGCAGUGUAAGAGGUUGCCAUGAAUCAUGAUAGCCUCAUCAUGCAACGUAACUUCGGUGGGACAGGAAAGAGUCGAAGCUACGAGUAUGGAGAUGGAUACGGAAAGAACAACAAACCCAGGAGGAGGUGCAUGCAUACCCAAUCUCUGUAGUUAAAAUGCCCAGCUGGAUCCCUGCUUCACAUCCCCAUAAUACUUGUUAUAUAUUCUUGUAAUAUUUAAAGUAGCUUGCAGUUAACAUUAAGGAUUCUUGAACUCUAUCGACAUUGGAGGCUUAAAUCUUUUUAUAACUAGACAAUAAGCUUAAUCUCUGUAGAACUAUUGAGACGUGGAAUCUAAAUCUAGUUGAAGAAGCUCAAAAGAUGACAGUAUAAACUAGUUGACUUAAUUCCUACCAUUUCAAUGUCUACUUUUGUUCUUUUCAGAACGAAGAUGAAGCUCAAAAGGCCUACCAAGACUCACUUCAUAUACCUAACCUGAGUGAGAAGUGACAUCGAAAUUGACCACAGUUGAGGACUCCUUCUGAUCUAUUUCCUUGGCCUCCCACGUUUCAACGUGCAAU